AGACUGUUGGUGAUGUAGACAAUCCCGAAGUGAAUCCUUAAAGCGUUCCCAAGCAUGAUAAAGAUUUUCAUCAAGAUUCUAUUUGAAGCUCACUAUCUCAUUAUGAAGUCU
rfam:Capsicum annuum cultivar Zunla-1 chromosome 3, whole genome shotgun sequence